rnacentral:rRNA from 1 species
GACGAACGCUGGCGGCGUGCUUAACACAUGCAAGUCGAACGGUGAAGGGAAGCUUGCUUCCCGGAUCAGUGGCGAACGGGUGAGUAACACGUGGGCAAUCUGCCCCAGACUUUGGGAUAACUACUCGAAAGAGUAGCUAAUACCGAAUAUUCAGCCUUGCAGGCAUCUGCGAGGCUGGAAAGUUUCUCGGUCUGGGAUGAGCCCGCGGCCUAUCAGCUAGUUGGCGAGGUAAUGGCUCACCAAGGCGACGACGGGUAGCCGGCCUGAGAGGGCGACCGGCCACACUGGGACUGAGACACGGCCCAGACUCCUACGGGAGGCAGCAGUGGGGAAUAUUGCGCAAUGGGCGAAAGCCUGACGCAGCAACGCCGCGUGCGGGAUGAAGGCCUCGGUUGUAACGCUUCAGCAGGAAGAAGCGAAAGUGACGGUACCUGCAGAAGAGGCACCGGCGUAACUACGUAGCCAGCAGCCGCGGUAA